rnacentral:lncRNA from 1 species
UGCCUAACUUGCAAGAAAGAAACUUUGAAAUGACCAGUCUACCUUUUAUUCUUUGUUUCCACUAUCUUCAACAUCUUUUGGUCUAUAAAACCAACUUUCUCUGCUCCGCUCAUUGGAACACAAUCCAUUUUAAGGUCUUUGUAGUCUCCUGUGGGCUGAAGCAAGGACUCCAGGCUAUCCUCUGAUGAAAGAUUGAACUCAGGACCUUGUGCUUGCAAGGCAGGUGCAGGGCUACUGAGCUACAUCCCCAGCAAGAAACUCACUUUCUAUGAAGCCUACUUGUACUCCUAGAGUUCACCCCCGUCUCCCAGACUGCGAUGGGGCCAGUGCAGCAGGGACAGGGAAUGCUGCCCCUCUACUCUCAGAAGUGAAAGAAUCAGCUGAAGUGACAGAGGCUGUUCAGUGAGGGUUGUUGGUUCUGUCACCUAUGAGGGGAUGUGGCUCUGUAUAGGAACUAUUCUGG